UUCGUAGGCGGUGCGGCAAGUCGGAAGUGAAAUCCUUGGGCUUAACUCAGGGGCUGCUCCCGAAACUGCCGUGCUCGAGUGCGGGAGAGGCGAGUGGAAUUGCAGGUGUAGCGGUGAAAUGCGUAGAUAUCUGCAGGAACACCCGUGGCGAAGGCGGCUCGCUGGACCGCAACUGACGCUGAGGAACGAAAGCUAGGGGAGCAAACAGGAUUAGAUACCCUGGUAGUCCUAGCCCUAAACCAUCAGGACUUGGGGUGCAUCCCGUUCGGGGUGCGUCCCGGAGCUAACGCGUUAAGUCCUGCGCCUGGGGAGUACGGUCGCAAGGCUGAA
rnacentral:rRNA from 1 species